AGAAUCAAUGCUGGCGGCGUGCCUAACACAUGCAAGUCGCACGAGAAAGUGGAGCAAUCCACGAGUAAAGUGGCGCACGGGUGAGUAACACGUGAAUAAUCUACCUCCGAGUGGGGAAUAACUGAGAGAAAUCUUAGCUAAUACCGCAUAAUACCCACGGGUCAAAGCAGCAAUGCGCUUGGAGAGGAGUUCGCGGCCGAUUAGCUAGUUGGCGGGGUAAUGGCCCACCAAGGCGAUGAUCGGUA
rnacentral:rRNA from 1 species